rnacentral:lncRNA from 1 species
AUUUUUUAAAAAACGAAUAAAGCAGUACCCUUCCUACAAGUACAGAAAAGCAUAGUAUUUCUAUUUACUCUUAGAAUUGUAGACAUAGGAUGAGGUGAGUGUUUCCCUUAGGGUGGCAUUUGUCAAGGUAGACCUGUACUUACACUCCUGUUUUCUCUUUUCUUUUAUAGAGGCCGUCUGGUUCCUGUGUGUGUCUGAGAUAGCAUGGAUGAGUGUUUGGGGCCUACUUAUGACUAAGCCCCCAGACACAUCUCAGCCAAGGAUUAGAAACUGCUCUGUUCACACAUCGGCUAUAGCCUGUAGCACAGAAACCAUGCCUGCUUUUCCAACACAUCGCUGUGAUAUUUGGUUAGAAGGGGAUUAAGGAUACGAAAAAGAAAAAAAGUAUUAGUUUCAAGGAGAACACUCAAAAGGGAGUAAAGCUGAGACACUGAAUUGUUGUGAGAACUGAAUUGGAGGAAUCAAGUCACAGAUGAGCUUUUACCUCAAGAAUUUUCGUCAUUGCUGCCCUUGGAACUGCAAACCACCCGGGAACACACCAUAUAAAGAAGCAUGUUUAUAAAGAAUGAAUUUGCCACUAGAACUUGAACAUAAAAAAUGAAUGUGCAGUCCUAAGCAAUUUUAAUCUCAUAACCAAGGGAAUAAAAUCACCUAAUAUCUUUAUCUAAAAUCUAAC